rnacentral:lncRNA from 1 species
CUCUCAGUAAACCCAGUGAGCAUCUUCAGAGAGACAGAGAAUGGACAGUGACUCUCUGUAACCACAUUAGGUGUUUUGUUUUGUUUUGUUUUGUUUUGUUUUUACUGUUUAAACAAAGCUCACAAUCACAAGAUGGAUCCCCAAAGUCUUGCCUGGUACUAGCAGGAAAAUGUUUUCCAAAAUCUCUUCCCGAAUUUACAGACUUUAUUUUGCAGCUUCUUUGGCUCACUUUAAGAUGCAGAAUCAAACAAAUCUACAUGUUCGUGUUCUUCCAAAUUCAUGGCAUGCAGAUAGAGUUUAUAUGAUUGAAAACUUCAUUUUGUUUGGUUUUAUCAAGCAUGGCAGCAUUACUCUUCCAAAAAGAAACCACUUGGCUACUUAUCUUUUCUGUUUAAAUAAAGUCUUUCUAGAUGGAUGCUUGUAGCAUAAUUCCAUCAUAGAGGUAUACUUAAAAAAACAGCUUUUACCAAUAAAUUUGAUUCACAUUAUCUAACUGGCUAUGCACUAAUAGAAAAGUUGAUGAUGGUAUAGUUUCCUUAAAAAGUCAAAAUUAAUGCAGUGUUUCUUAACUAUCACCAUCUAUUUGCAUAGAUUUCCUCUUAUGCACACUGAAAUAGAAUUACAAGUGAAAGAAUGAACGUUGGUCUUUUUGUAUUUGCCUCUGACAACUACCAGUGAUUGUAAGACAGAUUUUAAUCAUUAAGAGCUUUAUUUUAUGACGGAACAAUAAAAGAAAUAACCUGGUAUAUUGCAGUUUAUCUUAAUUACACUUGUAAGUUCCACCAAAGCAUUAAUAAAUUAGUAUUUUAAAGAGCUAAUUUUGAUACCGAAAGUACAGUUAUUGAUUUUUCUGAUGAGUAUAUAUAUAUAUAGGCAAAGUAUUCUUAUUCUUGUUGCUUUGGUCAAGAUGAACCUGUGAAUCAUAAAAUUCAGCUAAUUAUGGUAGAAUUCUUGUGCGGUACAAAAUGUGACUUUGCAAUUUUAUAAAGUAAUUCAACAAAUGGUAAUAAUAUUUUUAGACACUAGAAAAUUUUAUUGAAUUUUAGACAAAAGUUAUUCAGACAAGUUAUUAUAUUAUGGGAGUAUUGCAAGGACCUGACAAGUCACUUGGGAAUAAAUAGCUCAUGAGCAAUUUAAAUGCCUAUCUGAAUACAUGGGCAUUCAAUAAAAAUUAAAUAUAAUAACAUGAACUUAGAAAAAGUCCAAAACAGUAAGCAAAAGUAGUAGUCAUGGAACUCAAAAAUAGGAAAAUAUGCUUAAAAUGAUUAAAUAUACACAACAUGAAAUAAUACAAUAUUUGAAAUGUCUCAGCUAGAUAGCAAAAUUAUUAUGCAGAAAAGCCAGACACUGAUAAGAAAAUAAUAUAUGUUUUCCUAAUUAGGAGUUGAUAAAGAAGAGGCAUAUUUCUUUCCCCUUGGAAAAAAAAACAUAACCUCAUUGAAAUUAAUCAUUUUCUACAUGUUUUUAAGUCCUAUAUUUUAAUUUUUCCUAAUCUCUAGUGCUUAAGUUUUGAAACAUUUUCUUAGAAAUUUAAAUUACUUUGACAAAAAAAUGUACUUUUAAAAUCUAUACUCUUUGAAUUCUCUAUUACAGAUGUUGUCAAUUGAAGUACUCAUGGUCUCAUAAUCAUGCACAAAUGUGUCACAUUAACUCAGUCGUUAAGACUAUUUCUACUUUCUCUCUACUUAGGAUAAAAUAGUGAGAGUGCACUCUCUUAGAAAAAGAGUUUCUACAUACUGAUGUGGCUUUUAUGUAUGUAUGUUCUAAAAUUACCACCUACUUAUGCUCUUAGACUAAAUCUGACUCAUUCCAAAUUUCCAAGAAAAAAGAAGUGGCAAAGGAAAUGCCUAUGUCUUAGACAUGUUGGAGAUUUAGAAUAAGCUAAUUGUCCUGAUAGCCUCUUAGAAUUCAAACAUAGUCAUUAAAUUUGGGAAAUCUUUAUUAACUACUUUUUAUCUAAUUUACUUCAGGAUUUUCUUAUCUUUAUUUCACCAAUUUUAAUAUUACAUAUGAUUGUGUGGGCCAAUCUCUGUCAUAAGUAAGCCAACAAAAUGGAUAGCUAUGAAAUAAAACUUCAAUUGUGCAUUAUUGGUAAAUCAACUACAAUGAAGGACAGUUUCUGUAUAGUGGUUGGCACAUAAAAAUUUAGAGAAGAUAUCUGCCUGUCAAGACCUCUCUAGGUAAGCCCAGCAGCUGUGAGCUCUGCCCUGCCCCAUGUGCCCUCUGUUGACAACUCCACAACUAUUCUAGCUUUCUAAAAGCCUGCUGCCAUCAGGUACUACCAGGAGAGACCUUUCUCCCCCAUUCCUUGCCUUCGGGGUUUUCUCUGGGUAUAGGUAAGCGCAGCAAUGGUGAUCUCCUUCCUGUUCCUUGUGCCCUCCAUUUCUCAGCUCUCAGUUCGUCCUGCAUUCUCUUAGGUUUUCUGCCAUCAGGUUCUACCAGAGACCUGCUUCUAUAUGGGACUACCAGCUCUACCUGCAUUUCCAAAUGCCUACUCUCCUCUGGGACUAUCAUAGGCCUGUUGCUAUCAGGUACUACCAGGCCUACCAACACCAAGGACAACCAGGUGACCAAAGUCCAGU